rnacentral:lncRNA from 1 species
AAGUGAAAUUAUGAUUCAUCCCAUUUAAGCAGUUGCUUUUAGAAGAUCUGUUUGCUAAUGCCUCAUUUGACUGAUGUAUUUAUAUUGAAACCUAUUCAAACUUAGUAUUGAUAAUAUUCUUUGAGGGUUAUUAUUAAAACAUGUGUUGUGAUAUAAAUAAAGGAUGUUUGCUUCUCCAUAUUUUGAUUUUUUGCCAGAUUUUCGGAAUUCUCUGAUUUUAUCCAUGUAUGUCAUUAAAAAAAAUUGCCCACUAACCCCUACUUUUCUUUUCAUAAUUCUAUUACAUAAAGUUUAAAAAGCCAUACUUCAAAAUUUUAUAAAAUUCUUGUUAUUUUUUCAUAGUUUUAGAAACAAAUAAGGUGCCAAUGUUGAAUAUAUGAAAAACCUAGAGAGAGUUAAUUCCCGCCAAAUUUUCAAUGGCUUAUAGAUCUUGAAAACGAGCACACGCCCCCUCCAUUUUUUUUCUACUUUUUUAGUUUCUUUAUUUAUAUACUAUCAAUUCAUAAUAGUCUUUUAAAAAGCUUGUUAUUUUUUU